rnacentral:rRNA from 1 species
CACGUAGUUAGCCGGUGCUUUUUCUGCAGGUACCGUCACUUUCGCUUCUUCCCUACUAAAAGAGGUUUACAACCCGAAGGCCGUCAUCCCUCACGCGGCGUUGCUGCAUCAGGCUUUCGCCCAUUGUGCAAUAUUCCCCACUGCUGCCUCCCGUAGGAGCCUGGGCCGUGUCUCAGUCCCAGUGUGGCCGGUCACCCUCUCAGGCCGGCUACCCGUCGUCGCCUUGGUGAGCCAUUACCUCACCAACAAGCUGAUAGGCCGCGAGUCCAUCCCCAACCAAAAAAUCUUUCCACCACCAGACCAUGCGGCCAGUGAUCAUAUCCAGUAUUAGACGUCGUUUCCAACGCUUAUCCCAGAGUCAGGGGCAGGUUACUCACGUGUUACUCACCCGUUCGCCACUAAUCCACCCAGCAAGCUGGGCAUCAUCGUUCGACUUGCAUGUGUUAAGCACGCCGCCAGCGUUCGUCCUGAGCCAGGAUCAAACUCU